GCAAUUCAUUACCUUAUAUGGUUAUGCGUGGCGUUCUGCUUCGACGAAGACUAGAUUCACUCGAAUGAGUCAUACAGAUCAUACAAUACUCGCAUCUCGCUCGGAUUCGUGUUCCUUAUGCUGCGCAUAAUACAAUUUUAUCUUUCUCGAAUUCGUGAGUAACGGUUCGGCGCUUGACAUUCGAUAUUUAUAUUAAUUUUAGUCUACUGAUGCAGAGUUUAUGUGCGCGGUCAAAAUUUGUGUUUACCCGAACGAGUUUUUAUGUUCAUGAUCUAUAAUUGCCAAUUAUACGUCAUAAUGCAGACGGAGGUAUAUAUUUCGUUAAUUAAUUAGGUGUAGCAAAUUGUUAAAAUUUAUGUUUUCCAUAUGGGCUUGAAGAGGAAGGUUUAAACUUAAUUUACAUCCAAACGGGGUAUUUUUUGCAGACGUCAUUUAAGAGAUAUUAAGGGUUGAAGUUUGAAAUAGUCGAAUUUCGGGUAGUUGUGAUAGAAAAAUAUCAAUUAUAUGGCACAACUCCCAUGCUAAACUGUUAUACCGGGUGUCUUUCCCUUUGGAAUUUUUUGUAGCCUCAACCAGAGGAGU